UGUAUGAAUGGCAUAACGAGGGUUUAACUGUCUCCCUCCCCUAGUCAAUGAAAUUGAUCUGCCCGUGCAGAAGCGGACAUAAAUACAUAAGACGAGAAGACCCUAUGGAGCUUUAGACAAAAGAUCAAACAUGUAAAGAAACCAAAUCAACCAAAAGGAACACAAAGGCCACAAAACCCAACGUAAAAUGAUCCAAAUGUCUUCGGUUGGGGCGACCAUGGGGGAAAGAAAAACCCCCACGAGGAACUAGGGGCAAUCCAUUAAGCCAAGAGAUACACCUCUAAGCAACAGAAAAUCUGACCAAAAAUGACCCAGGACACUAAUCCUGAUCAACGAACCAAGUUACCCUAGGGAUAACAGCGCAAUCCUUUCCCAGAGUCCAUAUCGACGAAAGGGUUUACGACCUCGAUGUUGGAUCAGGACAUCCUAAUGGUGCAGCCGCUAUUAAGGGUUCGUUUGUUCAACGAUUAACAGUCCUACGUGAUCUA
rnacentral:rRNA from 1 species